AGUUGAGUGUCGGAUAGUGGCGGACGGGUGAGUAACACGUGGGCAACCUGCCCUACAGCCUGGGAUACCAUCGGGAAACUGAUGUUAAUACCGGAUACGCUCUUUUGAUCGCAUGAUCUAAGGAGSAAAGAUUUAUCGCUGUAGGAUGGGCCCSCGGUCCAUUAGCUAGUUGGUAGGGUAACGGCCUACCAAGGCGACGAUGGAUAGCUGGUCUGAGAGGACGAUCUGCCACACUGGGACUGAGACACGGCCCAGACUCCUACGGGAGGCAGCAGUGGGGAAUAUUGCGCAAUGGGGGCAACCCUGACGCAGCAAUGCCGCGUGAAGGAUGAAGGCUUUCGGGUCGUAAACUUCUGUCUAGAGGGAUGAAUUUUGACAGUACCUCUGGAGGAAGCCCCGGCUAACUACGUGCCAGCAGCCGCGGUAAUACGUAGGGGGCAAKCGUUGUCCGGAAUCACUGGGCGUAAAGCGCGCGUAGGUGGUCUAGUAAGUCAGAUGUU
rnacentral:rRNA from 1 species